rnacentral:rRNA from 1 species
GACGUAGGGAGCGAGCGUUGUCCGGAUUCAUUGGGCGUAAAGCGCGCGUAGGCGGUUUGGUAAGUCGGAUGUGAAAUCCCGAGGCUCAACCUCGGGACUGCAUCCGAUACUGCCCGACUAGAGGUAGGUAGGGGAGAUCGGAAUUCCUGGUGUAGCGGUGAAAUGCGCAGAUAUCAGGAGGAACACCGGUGGCGAAGGCGGCCACCUGGACUGUACCUGACGCUGACACGCGAAAGCUAGGGGAGCGAACGGG